UGGGGAAUUUUGGACAAUGGGGGAAACCCUGAUCCAGCCAUCCCGCGUGUGCGAUGAAGGCCUUCGGGUUGUAAAGCACUUUUGGCAGGAAAGAAACGUCAUGGGUUAAUACCCCGUGAAACUGACGGUACCUGCAGAAUAAGCACCGGCUAACUACGUGCCAGCAGCCGCGGUAAUACGUAGGGUGAAAGCGUUAAUCGGAAUUACUGGGCGUAAAGAGUGCGCAGGCGGUUCGGAAAGAAAGAUGUGAAAUCCCAGAGCUCAACUUUGGAACUGCAUUUUUAACUACCGGGCUAGAGUGUGUCAGAGGGAGGUGGAAUUCCGCGUUUAGCAGUGAGAUGCGUAGGUAUGCGGAGGAACACCGAUGGCGAAGGCAGCCUCCUGGGAUAACACUGACGCUCAUGCACGAAAGCGUGGGGAGCAAACAGG
rnacentral:rRNA from 1 species